rnacentral:rRNA from 1 species
UACGUAGGGUCCGAGCGUUGUCCGGAAUUACUGGGCGUAAAGAGCUCGUAGGUGGUUUGUCGCGUUGUUCGUGAAAACUCACAGCUCAACUGUGGGCGUGCGGGCGAUACGGGCAGACUGGAGUACUGCAGGGGAGACUGGAAUUCCUGGUGUAGCGGUGAAAUGCGCAGAUAUCAGGAAGAACACCCGUGGCGAAGGCGGCUCUCUGGGACGGUACUGACGCUGAGACGCGAAAGCGUGGGGAGCGAACAGG